rnacentral:rRNA from 1 species
UUGAACGCUGGCGGCAGGCCUAACACAUGCCAGUCGAACGGUAACAGGAAGAAGCUUGCUUCUUUGCUGACGAGUGGCGGACGGGUGAGUAAUGUCUGGGAAACUGCCUGAUGGAGGGGGAUAACUACUGGAAACGGUAGCUAAUACCGCAUAACGUCGCAAGACCAAAGAGGGGGACCUUCGGGCCUCUUGCCAUCGGAUGUGCCCAGAUGGGAUUAGCUUGUUGGUGGGGUAACGGCUCACCAAGGCGACGAUCCCUAGCUGGUCUGAGAGGAUGACCAGCCACACGGGAACUGAGACACGGUCCAGACCCCUACGGGGGGAGGCAGGGGGAAUAUUGCACAAUGGGCGCAAGCCUGAUGCAGCCAUGCCGCGUGUAUGAAGAAGGCCUUCGGGUUGUAAAGUACUUUCAGCGGGGAGGAAGGGAGUAAAGUUAAUACCUUUGCUCAUUGACGUUACCCGCAGAAGAAGCACCGGCUAACUCCGUG